UAAGAAAAACGAAAUUAUUUUCUUAGAAUUCUUUCCCUCUCGUUUCGGCCGAACGAUCGGCAAAAAUGUGUACGAUAGAUCGAGAUUGGAAUUUCCUUUGGAUUUUACGAACACGAACGAUUUACGUUCCUUAUUUUCAUAGAAUCCGAUGAAAUACGUCGUAGGUGUUUCCAACCAAAGGAAUGUCUAGUUUCUAUUCGAAUGUAUUUUAAUCAUACUCGUUUAAUAAUAUCAUUUUUCUGCGAUCUAAAUCAUUCUGUGAAAUGAGAUUCGAGUAUCGAGGAUGGUGGAGAAAGUGCAUUCACUGUACGAUGGCGGCCAGGCAUGACCGAAUCCUGCUUGUCAAAAUUGUGUCAACCGCGUGACCGCCGAACGAUAGCACCUGCCCAAUUGUUUUUGAUUAAUAGAGCGUUUGAAAGUGAACGAUACGUAUGUUUCUUCUCUUCCGUCAUAUCGUACGUGUCAUCUCGAUCGUGUAUAUAUUUAUAUACCAACGAUGAUCGAAUGUGCGAAACUGCUACAUUUUAAUAAUGGGUUGCAUUUUCAAUGUGGAUAUUUAUAUUAGUUUAUAUCAAGGUAGUCAUUAAUAAAUGAGCGAAAUUAUAGUUUAUCAAGAUGCGGGAGAGGUCUGUUAUGAUCCCCUGGUAUCCAGUGGGGAUCUAAAUUAAACAAUAUAGCAAAAAAAUAAAUUGUUUGCUAUAUAAAUCAAGAUGAAAAUGGAAGUAAAAUCAUAAUGUUCAGUCUUCAAAGAAAUGAAAUCUUUAUGUACUGAGUGAGAAUUAUACUUUCAUGCGAUAUUUGUAUUAAACUUUUUGUGAUCAUAAUAUACAUAAUUUAUGUACCAAGUAUUUGAACUGUGUAUAGACAUAAUGUAAUUACAGUGCGAGUUAAGUUUUUAUACAAGUGUGUUGAUAAAGAAAGUCACUAUGUCGUUUUUAUCGAAUUUAAAGAAAGCAUUCCACUUCGGUGGCAAUGAUGCAAAAAAGAAAAAGUUAUAUAAUAAUAUUAAAAUGGAUUGUAAUCCAGAAGAAUUCUGGGAAAUGGUUGGUGAGCUAGGAGAUGGGGCAUUUGGAAAAGUUUACAAGGCACAACAUAAACAAACUCAUCAAUUGGCUGCUGCAAAGAUGUGUGCAUUGGAAGGAGAAGAUGAUCUUAGCGAUUUCAUGAUUGAAAUUGAUAUUUUGUCUGAAUGUAAACAUCCAAAUGUUGUUGAAUUACAUGAAGCAUACUUUAUAGAAGGCAAAUUAUGGAUGUUGAUUGAAUACUGUGAUGGUGGUGCUGUAGAUUCUAUUAUGGUGGAGUUGGAGAAAGCACUGACAGAACCUCAAAUAUCAUAUGUGUGUCAACAUAUGGUAAAGGGUCUGGCAUUCUUACACAAAUCCAAAGUUAUUCAUAGGGAUUUAAAAGCAGGGAAUGUUUUGUUAACAAUGGCGGGAGGUGUCAAACUUGCCGAUUUUGGGGUAUCUGCAAAAAAUAAGCAUACAUUACAGAAACAUGAUACAUUCAUUGGUACACCUUACUGGAUGGCACCAGAAGUUGUAUUAUGCGAAACAUUUAGAGAUAAUCCUUAUGAUUUCAAAGUGGACAUUUGGUCCCUUGGCAUAACUCUUAUAGAGUUUGCGCAAAUGGAGCCACCAAAUCAUGAAAUGUCUCCAAUGCGUGUGUUACUUAAGAUACAAAAAAGUGAUCCACCAAAGCUUGAUCAACCUGGCAAAUGGAGCAAGGAGUUCAAUGAUUUUAUUGCAAAAGCGCUUAUAAAAGAUCCAACAUCACGACCUACAGCCGACGAAUUAUUAAGACAUCCAUUUAUAAAUCGAAAUUUAGAUUCUAAACCAAUAAGGGACUUAUUGCUUGAAUAUAAAGCUGAUGUUGUUGAAGAGGAACUUGUUGACGAAGAAGCUGAGAAGACCAAAAAAGCAAAAAAACACAGAGAACAGUAUCAGCGUAUUGGCUGUGCAUGCGGCUCUCCUGGGCCUCGCCAGCCCCAUCAUCCCUGUACUUGUCAGGAGCAGCGUACAUCUCAGCUUCCUUUGGAAUUGGAACAACUCGGAGAUGACUCUGCAUCUAUGCGCAGUGAUGGCGAUGUUAAAGUUACUGAGAAAGAAAAUCUUACUCCGUUACCUGUAUCCACGAAAAAAGAGGAUAGUCAUAAACGGGAGAUGAAUAGAGAUGGCGAGAAAGAAGAUAGAAAUAAGAAAUUGCGUAAAACUGAAUCUAAAGAAAAUAUGCACGCAUUAAACGAGAAAAAACAGGCACCAAAACCUCCAGCUACAGCUGAAAAUAACGAGCGUAGGAUAUCUAGAGAUAAAGGUCCUGCGCCUCCACCUCCGUCUGUUCGCCAAGACAACAAAAAUGAUGAAAAAGAGAAUUGUGCCGAUCUGGCAAACAAAUCUAGUGCCAUGGAAUCGUUAGGUCAAAAUAAAGUUAAGGAUGAUAAACAACAAGAUCGUAAUUUAUUAUCAUCGCAAUCGGUAGGAGUAGACAUGGAACAGCAAAAACCAAAUACUAAAGAUCAGAUAAAGAUAGGACCCUCAAAUAAGAACGAUGAGUUAGACAACGUAGAUAAAACUAAUACAACAGAAACUGUUGAUAAAGCGCUAUUUGCCUUGAGUAAAUCUAAAAGUAUCGAAGGAAAACAAAAAUUAACGGAUAAUGUAAAUAUAUUAACCAAAAAAUCAAGUUUGGAUGAAAACCGAAAGUCAGCUCCUAUCAAGCCAAGUUCGUCGGAUGAAUGGGUAAAGCCAAUGUAUAACAAACAAUCUUCACUCGAAGAGAAGAAUAGGUUCCAAUCAGAAGCUUCGAUGGAGGAACAACGCAAACAUGAAAAAUAUUUAAUUGAAGAUAAUCUGAAAAAUUUGGAACAAAAACGAAAGUCUGUAGAAGAUAAAUUGAAUGCGGUCUUAGAAAAACGUAUUUCUAUGGAUACGCAAAAAAGGAUAAGUACUACGUCGAUUGAAACAUUAAAGCAUGCGUCUGAUAUAACGAGCGUUACGUUGUCAGAAAAAAAUAGUAUGAAAGCAAGCUCUACGGAGAAUAUUAAGACAGAUUAUGGUCUGAAUAAAGUCGAAAAUAUUUUGACCAGUCAUAGCGAAGGUUCUUCUAGAAAUGAUUCUUUAGAAAACUUUUCUGACGAUUUUGAAGGUAAACAUCAGAGAACCAAAUGGUUAAAUAAGGAACACAGAUUAAAAGGAGAUAAUAAAGAGGAUAAAAAUUAUGAGCGUCAAAGUUCUGCCGUUAAUGUAUCUGUAAUAACUUCGACACCCAUCAGAAGCAGAAGUACAUCUCGAAGGAGUAGUGCAGAUAACAUAGUUGUUAUUACUGGUAAAUCUCAAAACGAACAAGAGGUACGUUCCAAUAGAUCAACCGUUCGCAUUACAGCUGAUUCUCCAGAUCCAUCUAAUAGUCUUGCAAGUAACGUGAGUCAAGUUACCGUUGUCACUACACAUCCUCCAGUGUUAGUAGACGCAACAGCUACAACUCCUUUACUACGACGUUCUUCUCCUACCUCGGAGGUAGUUAUCGUUGCAAACGAAACAAAUAAAACUCAAGUUAACGAAAAUUCGACCGACGAGGACGGUUUCCCUAGUCUGGAUAGUUUGGAAUAUACUCCACAGGAACAACCUAUUAUUCUUAUGGAUACUUCCAAACGUGUUGGUAAAAAGUUAGACGAGUCUGAAGUUAUUAUCGUCAGUCCUAUUGUUGACGAAUUACAAGAUACUAGUCAUGUCUCUGUUGUUACCGUUGGCGACGAUGGAGAACGAGUAAAAGAUUCAUCGAUAAGUAAUAAACAUAACGUCGUUAGAACUGGUUCUUCGCACAGCAAUUUAAGUUCGAUCGAACAGAUAAGUUCGAAGAGCGAUAGUGGCGAUGAAAUUAGCAAGACGUCAAUGGCAGUUGCAGGAGCUACUACCGAAAUUAUGGAUCUCAAUGACGUUGAAAGAAAUUCAAAGAAGAUGAAUGGUUUAAUCAAAAGUGAAAGGUCCAUUGGUCAUCGUAUUGAAGACAGAGUCGUAACAUCGACGAAACAAAAAGAUGAUUAUGUAAAAAGUUCGAAAGAGAAACGUGUCUCACCGGAUAGUUUUGAAGGGUCAAGGUCACAGAGUGAUUCAGGAUCAACCAGAUCGCAUACACCUAGUAAGAGUAUUGAUCGUUCCGACGCCGAAUCGAUUUCUACGACGAUAAGUCAAGAUAGUCGAGGUUCGAAUAAAGAAAAUCAUUUAUCUCACGUUCAGUCUACGGAAGGUGAGGAGGAAGUUGUCCUACGUCGAAAAUCUGAUUAUAAUCGGGAUGUAUCGCGAACACCUAGAACGAAGGAAGACAUACAAAUGAUGAAUUUGAAGAAGAAAACGAGGAAACGUACUAGGAAAUUCGAAAUCGAUGGUGUUGUUGUUACAACAACAACAUCGAAGGUUAUAUAUGGUGAUGAUGAAAAUGGUAAGGUCUAUGACGAUCAAAUAUUCCGGAAACAAGAAUUACGUGAAUUAAAGAUGUUACAAAAGAUGGAACAAAAACAGUUUCAAGAUCUAUCACAAAAAUCGCAAUUUAACAAAGAUCAACAAGAGAAACGAUUUGAACAGGAAAGACAAUUGUUGGAACGUGGUGCUGAAGGAGAUUUAGAAACGCUCGCUAGACAACAAAGACAACAAAUCGAACGUGCAGAAGCUCAACAAGAAGCCGAUCUUAGAUUGGCAUCGAAAAAGAUUCGUAGCGAACAAGAGAGAGAAUUGAAACAAUUCCGUGAAGGUUUGAAACAGGAAUUGCGAUUACUCAAACAGGAGGUUGAUUUAAUGCCUAAAGAAAAAAGAAAGGGAGCUUUUAAGGUAAGGAAGGAAAAGCUUGAGGCUGAACACGAGGAAAGAGAAAAGCUUUUCUUGGAAAAACUUAAUGAAAGUCACGAAAUGUCAUUACGAAGAUUAUCGGAUAGUCAUCGUGAAAAAAUUGCUUUAAUGGAGAGACAGUUUCUACAACAGAAGCAGCAAUUGAUGAGAGCUCGAGAAGCAGCUAUUUGGGAACUAGAAGAACGACAGAUACACGAAAGACAACAAUUGUUGAAGAGACAACUCAAGGAUAUUUUCUUCUUGCAGCGACAUCAGAUGCUGAUUAGACAUGAAAAGGAAUUGGAACAAAUGAAAAGAAUGAAUCAGAGAAAGGAAGAUGAAUUGAUAAAACGUCAAACGGUAGAACGUAGAAACUUGCCUAAAAGGAUUCGAAACGAAAUGAAAGCGCGUGAAAUGAUGUUUAGGGAGUCCAUGAGAAUUUCAAUGUCUUCCGCGAUUGCGUCGGAUCCUGAAGCUGAAAGAGAAAAAUUGAAGAAGUUCCAAGAGAAUGAGAAAAAGAGGUAUAGAGCUGAACAACAACGAUUUGAGUUGAAGCAUUCGCGGCAACUUGAAGAAGUUAGAGCUCAGAGUGAUGCUACCAUUAAGGAAUUGGAGCAACUACAAAAUGAAAAGAGAAAAAUGCUGAUGGAGCAUGAGACAUUGAAGUUAAAAGAACAAGAAGAAGCGUAUGGCAAAGAGCUUCGGGAAUGGAAGGCACAAUUGAAACCAAGAAAACAGAAGAUAGAAGCUGUGCUGGCGGCUGAAAUGGAGGCAUUGGAAGCUCGUUACCGAGAUUAUUUGCCCUCUGGCCUUAGUGGUUUCUCUUUACCUUCCUUUGAUUAUUCUGAUAUAUCACUUCCUAACACCUUGCAAAAAUCUUCUCGCUUACCUCGAUCUACUCCAAAUUCUCCAUCUCCGUUUACUAUACCUAGAGUCUCUCUUAGACUUACUGGUUCAGAUACUACUUCCACAAAUGGCACGCUUGUCCGAAGUCGUUCUAAACCAGAUUUAAUGCCAUCUUGUCUGUCCCGUAGAUAGUACUUGCCAACAUCAUAUAUCUCAUACAUUUUUCUUGUUUAUUGAUAAAUUUGGAAAUAUAAAUAUAAAGAGUAUAAUUUUAUUUUAUUAAAUUAGAAUUCUUAGUAUGUUCUAUAAUAUAAUCCAAUUACAUAAAUAAAUGCACAAUAUAUAUUAUAAUACAAUAUAACACAAUAUAAUUAAUUCAUAAUAUAAAUAAACAAUAUAGAACAAAAUAAAGAUAUUUAUAUUUCCAAAUUAAUCUUAUUUCUGUUUUCAACAAUAUAACAUUCCAUGUGCUUCCUUUAUUGCUGUUUUCUUCAUACUAUACACUUUAUAUGGAGUUGGUACUAAUGAGUAUACUUUAACUUAUGAAAUAGACAUUGUUUAUAUAUAUAAAUAUUUUAUAUAUAUAUAUACAUAUAUAUGCAUUAAAUAAUUAUAUAUUUAUAUUUUGCUGCUAGCUUAUCAUAUAAAUUGUGAUAGAAUACGUUAAUAUAACUGUGGCCAGGCUUACAUAAUAUGUUAAAAUCUUGAAAGAGUAAGUAAAAGAAAAGAGAAAAACUUUACAUAUUAUAAUGACGCAGGUACUUAAGUAUGAUCUAAUAUGACUUAUGGAUAAAUCAGUGCAAUAUUUAAGAAUAUUUAUUGCAAAAAAUAAAAAAAAAUAUAUUCAAGUAUAUUCAAGUACCAAUAUUGGUAUGUGAUUUACAAUUUCAUUUGAUUAAUUAUUAUCAUUGAAAAUGUGCCUUGUAUCAUAGCUUCGUAGUUGUAUUUUCCAUUACAGCUGUAUUAUUAUUAUUAUUAUUAUUGUCCUUUGUCAUAUGAAAAUUACAUAUAAAGAGUUCAAUUAAUUUUAUAUUCCAAAGCUUAAAUAUAUAUGUGAAGAAAAUAAUAUGGGCAAAUGUGGUUACUAUUGGUUUCAUGCUAUGUUUUGUCAAGUAGUAGAACUAUGUGAUAAAUGCUUUUUUUUUAAAGGGUUCUUAUGUGGGUAUCUAAUAGCAAACAUGCUAAUUUGUAAUUGUAGUCCUUGCGCAUAAAUAUUCCCACAAGAACCUUUGUAAAAGAAAAAUAUAAAGAGAUGCCACAGUCGGAUUUCAAAAGCAGUAUUAUAGAAAAUAUUGAAAGAGACUAGAAGAACAAUUUGCUCUUCAAUUAGAAGAGCAGGAAGCAAUUUAUGGACCUAGCGCGAUUCCAUUAUGCUUACCAGCAGACCUUCCUGAUCUUACGCAUCAUACUGCUGGUUCUACACGCAGUUCAUUAUCUUCUG